UGAACCUUCAAUAUAAGAAAUAUAUGUUCCAAUAAAAAAAAUUAAGACAUAGUUAUGAGAAUAUGAAGUGUGUGCCACUGUGGUUUAUGUAGAGAAAUAAAUCCGAAGCUUUUGUUCAAUCGGGACCUCUUCUAUAGUACAAUAUUGACUUAGCUCGUCAGUUGAGCGCGGUAAUCCUUGAAUAUCCAGUUUUUGUUAUGUUUAAUUUUUUCACUGUUGUUUUACUACGAGUAUAGAUUAGCUGAUGAGUUCGAGCAACCUUCGAAUUUAGACAAUUGCUUGCUACGGUGGACCAUAUACGAUUGGCGUCGACAAGAAUAUCAAUUACUUGUACCUGUGCUUUUCGUUCGAAUAAAUAUCUUUAUUAAUGCUCGAAUCUCGGUGAUUGUCGUCGGUAAUAGCAUGACAUAAGUACCAACUUCAUCAGCUACUAGUUGAAUAUGGUAAUCAAAGGUUUAUGUCUGAUUCUUCAAAGUUUCCGCGGUUGACGUCCUGUAUAAAUAACAUGUAAAUAAAAGGUCUUCGGAUAACCAACGAGUCCGUAAGUCGAGGGACUAUUUGUUGGCGUCUACC